UACGUAGGGUGCAAGCGUUAAUCGGAAUUACUGGGCGUAAAGCGUGCGCAGGCGGUUGUGCAAGACCGAUGUGAAAUCCCCGGGCUUAACCUGGGAAUGGCAUUGGUGACUGCACGGCUAGAGUGUGUCAGAGGGGGGGUAGAAUUCCACGUGUAGCAGUGAAAUGCGUAGAGAUGUGGAGGAAUACCGAUGGCGAAGGCAGCCCCCUGGGAUAACACUGACGCUCA
rnacentral:rRNA from 1 species